rnacentral:rRNA from 1 species
AAAGCCUCUAAGCAUCAGGUAACAUCAAAUCGUACCCCAAACCGACACAGGUGGUCAGGUAGAGAAUACCAAGGCGCUUGAGAGAACUCGGGUGAAGGAACUAGGCAAAAUGGUGCCGUAACUUCGGGAGAAGGCACGCUGAUAUGUAGGUGAAGCGACUUGCUCGUGGAGCUGAAAUCAGUCGAAGAUACCAGCUGGCUGCAACUGUUUAUUAAAAACACAGCACUGUGCAAACACGAAAGUGGACGUAUACGGUGUGACGCCUGCCCGGUGCCGGAAG